rnacentral:misc_RNA from 1 species
UGUGCACUGCUGCCAAGGCUUUGCUUGGGCAGCACGUGAGCUCUAUUCCGGAGGCGAAACGGGAGCCGGAGAGACACACGCGGUACCCCGCGAAGGAACACCUCUGUGCGAUGCUUGUGCAUUUUCGAAGGUCAGCUGCCUAGCGCUGCGCCGCCAGCCGGAUUCGGUUUCUGUUUCUGUUUUUCUCGCUCAACACGCACUGAGGCACAAGCAUUUUAUUGCUUCCUCCUCUUGUUGGAGCAGGGGGCCAUCACAACACAUACGGCACCCUACACGCAGACAAACAUAUAUGCAUACACUCUCUCAUCCAAUGAAGUCUUCCGUGCCUAAAAGUGGAAAGCUGCCUCCGCUGCGCAGCACCACCGUUCUUCUCCCGCCGCUGACGAGUCCACAGAGCACCGCGGCCGGCUACACGUCCAUUCGGCUGGACACGUAUCAUGACACAAGUGAUUUAAGGGCGGCACUGCACCAAAUAGAGGCGGCCUUUGCGCCUGCGGAUCGAGAGGCACCUACAGUGCCGAAGCUAACCGCGGCGGCAGCAGGCGCCGCCGCCAACGUGAGCAAGUCGGACAAAAAGACCAAAGCGAUGGCGAACGUGCGGCUAGCGAAGAUAGGCGACAGUGCUUCAUCUCGGCCCACCAUUGUUGUCGAGAAGAGCACUGCGAUACCGCCAAGGCUGCCAAGGAUAGGUCCACCGGCGAUUUUGCGGCUGCCGCCGCAGCUCGUGAUUCACUGCUUCUGCUUCUGCAACCUGCAGACGCUGGGUGUGCUUUGCAGGGUGUCGGUGCGGAUGAAUGUGCUUGUGGCGCGCCAGGGAGCCGAGUUGUGGCUCGCGGCGGCUCAGCGGCGCCGAAUCCCGAUUUCGGACUCUGCGUGUGCGCGAGAGGAACUGCGCAAGGCGCUGGUGCACCGCGCACGCGAGCGGCAGGCCGAGGAGGCAUACUACGAAGCAGAGAUAGCCAGGAUGGAGGAGCGGCUCUCGGCGCGCGCACAGUACAUCUACGCCCAAAACAUCGAUGUCGAUCGCACACUGGAAACGAACGGUGGGCCGCCAACGGCAGCUGCUGCGAACCCUCAGCCGUUCUGGCUCAGGCAGAAGCGUACGCUGCAGGCAAGAGCGGGUGCGACAGCUGGCUCUGCAGAUGCCGCUCCCACAGCGCUGUCACAGUCGGCUGACAUGUGCGCUAAGUUGCAGACAGAGAUAGAGGCACUGGAGGAGGUGAAGCGAGCCUGCGAGUGCCGCCUGAAUCUUCAGGAGGAACUACUGCUGCAGCACGAUGCACAGUUGCGCCAGUGGCAGUCGCUGCUGCUUCCUUGCAAGAUGUCUUCACCGAAGUCGUCUCUUGCACCAGCGUCUGCUGGAGCCGCAGCCGCCUCUUUCAACACAAAGAAUGAGUCAGCGGCAGCGGUCGCGUCUUCCCUGUUGCUGGUCUCCGCAGCGCAAGUUGACGAGUUUGAGCGUCGCAUGGCGCGCCUCGUUCUCAACGGCCCCGUUUCGACUUCAUCAGCCUCGAUAACGCACGCAUCGCCAGGCGAAUCAAGUCUGCCUGUCGUGCUGCGGCGCGGUGUGGAGAACUUUGGGAGCCUGGAGCUAGUCUUGCGCGCGGUUAAGCGUAUCGAACCUACUACUGACCUCGAUCCCGCGAAUCGGGAUACCGUGACUACGGGCAACAACAUGAGCACUGCCACCGCGGCCACGGCUGCUGAAGCUGCGUCUUUUGAAGGCGCGGCGCGAGCCGCUGCGAAGCGCUGGGGCGCUUUUCAGAAGAUUUGCCCGAUUAAUGAGGAGUACGGAAAUGCACGUCUCUUCUUGAAAGCGCAGGCAUCGCGAGCCGUGCCAGCGCCUACAGCUCAUCUACAUACCAACACUGACGGACGCAGCCCCGCAAAUAACGACGAGCAACUGCAACAACAGCCUUCGCCGAAACCGACGCCGGCACUGCUUCGGCUGUCUGACUUUGUACGCCGCGCAGAGGCGAUGUCAGACGCACAGGUGCUUCAAAAAUGGAUGUAAACUACGACUGAGCAGGUGCUAAGCCUCCUUUUCUUCCGCCUUUGGUGUCGCUCCUGUCGGUGUGCACUGCCCUCCCCUCCCCCUUCCGUCUCUUGGGCCACGUUGGCAAG